rnacentral:lncRNA from 1 species
CUUUCCUGAGCAGGAAAGAGAUCAGGUAAAGUAACAUAUAAUAUCCUCCUUAUUCCCAUGCAGAUGUCUGAGGCUUCUCUUUACUUUGUUAAAAUCUGAUUUGUAUUUCUUCUUGGUUAAUACCCCCCCAGAGUGCUCCCAGGCUGCUUUCUGCCUG